AACGAACGCUGGCGGCAGGCUUAACACAUGCAAGUCGAGCGCCCCGCAAGGGGAGCGGCAGACGGGUGAGUAACGCGUGGGAACCUACCUGAAGGUACGGAACAACUCCGGGAAACUGGAGCUAAUACCGUAUGUGCCCGAAAGGGGAAAGAUUUAUCGCCUUCAGAUGGGCCCGCGUCAGAUUAGCUAGUUGGUGGGGUAAUGGCCCACCAAGGCGACGAUCUGUAGCUGGUCUGAGAGGAUGAUCAGCCACACUGGGACUGAGACACGGCCCAGACUCCUACGGGAGGCAGCAGUGGGGAAUAUUGGACAAUGGGCGCAAGCCUGAUCCAGCCAUGCCGCGUGAGUGAUGACGGCCUUAGGGUUGUAAAGCUCUUUCGACGGGGACGAUAAUGACGGUACCCGUAGAAGAAGCCCCGGCUAACUUCGUGCCAGCCGCCGCAGUAACAC
rnacentral:rRNA from 1 species